ensembl:snRNA U5 U5 spliceosomal RNA
ACACACAGUCACCCCCAUUACGUACAAAUCUUUUGCCUUUUACUAAAGAUUUCCUUGGAGAGGGGCAUCAACAAGCCCACAAUAUUUUUGGUGGCUCUGUUUUGACAGACCU